AGGGCAGGACGGUUAACCAAUCCUACAAAUUUUUCAGUUGGAUCGCAGUUGCAACUGAUGCGUGAAGCUGGAAUCGUAGUAAUCGCGGAUCAGCAUGCCGCGGUGAAUACGUUCCCGGGCCUUGUACACACCGCCCGUCACACCACGAGAGUUUGUAACACCCGAAGUCGGUGAGGUAACUUUUAAGGAGCCAGCCGCCGAAGGUGGACAGAUGAUUGGGGG
rnacentral:rRNA from 1 species